rnacentral:rRNA from 1 species
GACGUAGGGCGCGAGCGUUGUCCGGAUUUAUUGGGCGUAAAGAGCUCGUAGGCGGCUUGUCGCGUCGUCCGUGAAAUCCCGGGGCUUAACUCCGAAACUGCAUUCGAUACUGCCGUGCUUGAGGACUGGAGAGGAGACUGGAAUUUACGGUGUAGCGGUGAAAUGCGUAGAUAUCGUAAGGAAGACCAGUGGCGAAGGCGGGUCUCUGGACAGUUCCUGACGCUGAGGCACGAAGGUCAGGGGAGCAAACGGG